GGCAAUCUUCACACAACCCAUGUAAUACAUAAGGGAAAGAGAUACAUAGUUGGCUUACAAUCGCCACUUCACACAAUUACAAGAAUAAAGCAAUACAUCAUCCAAGUACAAUCAGGGCCCGACUACGGAGCCAAAAUAAAAGAAGAACCCCAAAUGCGACAAGGUCCCCGAUCGACCCCAACUGGGCUUCACUACUGAUCAACUAGAACGAAACAACACAAAGGACAAGAUCUUCAUCGAGCUCCUCCCGACCUUGGCUGCGUCAUCUGCACGGCUCAACGACACCUGCAAGCUGGUUUUGGAAGUAUCUGUGAGUCACGGGGACUCAGCAAUCUCGCACCCUCGCGAUCAAGACUAUUUAAGCUUAUGGGUAAGGUAAAGGUAUGAGGUGGAGCUGCAGCAAGCGACUAGCAUAUAUGGUGGCUAACAUAUUCGCAAAAGAGAGCGAGAAGAGAAGGCAAAGCGCGGUCGAGAAACUAUGAUCAAGAAGUGAUCCUAGAACAACCUACGUCAAGCAUAACUCCAACACCGUGUUCACUUCCCGGACUCCGCCGGAAAGAGACCAUCACGGUUACACACGCGGUUGAUACAUUUUAAUUAAGAUAAACUUCAGGUUUUCUACAACCAGACAUUAACAAAUUCCCAUCUGCCCAUAACCGCGGGCACGGCUUUCGAAAGUUCAAAUCCCUGCAGGGGUGUCCCAACUUAGCCCAUCACAAGCUCUCACGGUCAACGAAGGAUAUUCCUUCUAGCGGGAAGACCCGAUCAGACUCGGAAUCCCGGUUACAGGACAUUUCGACAAUGGUAAAACAAGACCAGCAAAGCCACCCGAAUGUGCCGACAAAUCCCGAUAGGAGCUGCACAUAUCUCGUUCUCAGGGCACACCGGAUUGUCCAAACUUCCGAUAGGCCAGCCCAGAGUUUCCCCUGGUGGCCACCGGCGGCUGACAAGGUGGACCAACACUUAGAGGAGCACUGGCCCGGGGGUUUAAUAAAGAUGACCCUUGAGCCGGCCGACUCAAGGGAAAGAAAAGGCUAGGUGGCAAAUGGUAAAACCAAUGUUGGGCCUUGCUGGAGGAGUUUUAUUCAAGGCGAACUGUCAAGGGAUUCCCAUUAUUACCCAACCGCGUAAGAAACGCAAAAUCCAGAAACAUAACAUCGAUAUGACGGAAACUAAGGCGGCAAGAGUGGAACAAAACACCAGGCAUAAGGCCGAGCCUUCCACCCUUUACCAAGUAUAUAGAUGCAUUAAUUAAAUAAGAUAUAUUGUGAUAUCCCAACAAGUAAACAUGUUCCAAACAAGGAACAACAUCUCCAUAUUCCAACAAGGAACAAACUUCAAUCUUCAUCUGCACUAACAACGCUAUAAGAGGGGCUGAGCAAAGCGGUAACAUAGCCAAACAACGGUUUUCUAGGACAAGGUGGGUUAGAGGCUUGGUUCAACAAUAUAGGAGGCAUGAUAAGCAAGUGGUAGGUAUCGCAGCGUAGGCAUAGCAAAAGAGAGAGCCCUAAGCAAGCAAAGAUAGAAGUGAUUUCGAGGGUAUGAUCAUCUUGCCUGAGAUCCCGCAAGGAAGAAGAACGAGUCCAUGAAGAAGUCAAACGGACGAAGUUGAACGAAUCCUCACAACUCCGGAACGGAACCGAAGCUCACGAGAAAGGCAACCCAGAAAGAAGCAAACAACAUAGUAAACAACCAACACAUAGACAUGGCAUGAUGCACAACAAGUAUGAUGCAUGCCCGGUUUAAAUAUGCAUGACAUGGCAAAGUGCAAUAGCCAAAACUACAAAUUAAGUGGAGCUCAAUAUGCAACGGGUUGCAUAUUGAUGGAACACCACAUCAAUUAUUUAGUUCUCUCUCGUUUAUGUACCCAACAAGGUUAAAUGUUGUUAGCAUGGCAAGAGGUGAAGCAAGAUGAAACUAUCUAAUCUAGGAAAGUUUAAAUGAGGCCGGAAACAACAAACAACAAUUCCGGGAAAACCACAUAUGCAUAUAUUAAGUUUGGUACUGUUCUGCCCUAAACAUAGUUUUAGAGUUGUUGAGCAUGCAAAGUGAAGCCACCAUGUUAAACUAGGCAAAAUUCUACCCCAUUUACAUAUAAAAUUUAUUAAAAUCCGAGCUACGGUUAGUUAGUUAUGAAUUAAAGCAUUUUAGCAUGUCCAUAUAGCAAAUUUAAACAAACAUCAUUUUAAACAUGUCAAACAUGGAUGAAGGUUGGAAAUUAUUAAUCUACACAAAAUUCCACGCAAGUUUCAUAUAUUAAGUUUUUUACAUUUGAUGCAUGGUUGGUGAAUUAUUAAAUGCAUGAAGUGCAAGGGGCUUUUCUAAAAAACUGCAGUCUCUGGAAUAAAUGGCAAAAUCAUAGCAGCAGGGAAAAAACAUUACAUGGGCCGAAACUGAGCAGAGGUCCAACAGAACAAAAAAAAGGAGGCGCUGGGACUGCUCACAUCGGGCCUUGGCCCAGCUGGAGGAG
rnacentral:lncRNA from 1 species